rnacentral:sRNA from 1 species
CUGGCGUGGGCAAGGCUGGCCAAGGAUGGCGACGCCCAGGGGCCUGGGGGCCCUGCUCCUGCUCCUCCUGCUCCUGACCUCAGGUCAGGAAAAGCCCACCGAAGGGCCAAGAAACACCUGCCUGGGGAGCAACAACAUGUACGACAUCUUCAACUUGAAUGACAAGGCUUUGUGCUUCACCAAGUGCAGGCAGUCGGGCAGCAACUCCUGCAAUGUGGAAAACUUGCAGAGGUUCCGAGGCAGGUGAUGAAGGACGAGGACAAGCCCCCUGACAGAGUGCGACUUCCCAAGAGCCUUUUUCGAUCCCUGACAGGCAACAGGUCUGUGGUCAGCUUGGCCAUCACCAUUCUGGACAUUGGUCCAGGGACUCUCUUCAAGGUGAGGACUCAGGGAAGCUCCAAGGUUAAGUGCUAGGUCCUCUGGGGGCUCCAUGCCACAGCUUGCUGUCACUGGAGCCUGCCGAGGGAUCCAAUGGGGACAGAGCAGGCAGUGAGCCUCUUAGUGUUUCUAAUGCAGCCCGUGGCCAUCUCAGACACCUGUCACUAGAGUCUAUGGUCUUCAGACUCACACUGGUCACACGCUCUCAGAUGUUUGACCCCCACACAUGAGUGCCCUUUGGCUUGUCUAUGUGUCCUGGGGGUGCUUGUGUGCUCUGUGUGUCCUCGUGCAUGCACAAACAUGCACAUCC